CGAUCAGUAGCCGACCUGAGAGGGUGAUCGGCCACAUUGGAACUGAGACACGGUCCAAACUCCUACGGGAGGCAGCAGUGGGGAAUAUUGCACAAUGGGCGAAAGCCUGAUGCAGCAACGCCGCGUGAGUGAUGAAGGCCUUCGGGUCGUAAAACUCUGUCCUCAAGGAAGAUAAGGACGGUACUUGAGGAGGAAGCCCCGGCUAACUACGUGCCAGCAGCCGCGGUAAUACGUAGGGGGCUAGCGUUAUCCGGAUUUACUGGGCGUAAAGGGUGCGUAGGCGGUCUUUCAAGGCAGGAGUGAAAGGCUACGGCU
rnacentral:rRNA from 1 species